rnacentral:rRNA from 1 species
UAUCUCUGUAGAGUCUGCAUAUCAAUAAGCGGAGGAAAAGAAACUAACAAGGAUUCCCUUAGUAACGGCGAGUGAAGCGGGAAGAGCUCAAAUUUGAAAUCUUCAAGGUUCUACCUUGACGAAUUGUAGUUUAAAGAAGUGUUUUCUGUUAGAUGAGUAGCAAAAGUUCCUUGGAAUGGGACAUCAUAGAGGGUGAGAAUCCCGUAUUUGGUUAUUCAUUCUAGCUUUGUGAUACACUUUCAAAGAGUCGGAUUGUUUGGGAAUGCAGUCCAAAAUGGGUGGUAAAUUUCAUCUAAAGCUAAAUAUUGGCGAGAGACCGAUAGCGAACAAGUACCGUGAGGGAAAGAUGAAAAGAACUUUGAAAAGAGAGUUAAACAGUACGUGAAAUUGUCAAAAGGGAAGCGUUUGACACCAGUGUUGUUUUUCCGAAAAUCAAUUACGAAUGGCUUGAUUUUGUGUUGUAUUGACCUUAUCAGCUUUCUGCACUUUUUUCGAGUCUUUCUUAAUGCACUUUUCGGUUAACAAGUCAACAUCAAUUUCUUUUGUUGUAAAAGAGUAUUCGGAAGGUGGCUUUCUUUUCGGAGAAAGUGUUUAUAGCCCUAUACUUCUACAAUCGGAGAGAUUGAGGUCUGCAGCGUAGAUCCUUCGGGGUUAGAUACACUUGUGCUAAGUUGUAGCUUUUCAUAGACAACUUGUUGACUAUGUUUAGUCAUGCGGCUUACUCGCUUAUGCUAUUUUACCUACGCUUAGGAUGUUGACUGAUAUGUAGUCGU